rnacentral:rRNA from 1 species
GUGACCUCAAAUCAGGUAGGACUACCCGCUGAACUUAAGCAUAUCAAUAAGCGGAGGAAAAGAAACUAACAAGGAUUCCCCUAGUAACUGCGAGUGAAGCGGGAAAGGCUCAAAUUUAAAAUCUGGCGGUCUUUUUGGCUGUCCGAGUUGUAAUCUAGAGAAGUGUUAUCCGCGCUGGACCAUGUACAAGUCUCCUGGAAUGGAGCGUCAUAGAGGGUGAGAAUCCCGUC